rnacentral:rRNA from 1 species
GAGUUUGAUCAUGGCUCAGAUUGAACGCUGGCGGCAUGCCUUACACAUGCAAGUCGAACGGUAACAGGUUAAGCUGACGAGUGGCGAACGGGUGAGUAAUACAUCGGAACGUGCCCGAUCGUGGGGGAUAACGCAGCGAAAGCUGUGCUAAUACCGCAUACGAUCUACGGAUGAAAGCAGGGGAUCGCAAGACCUUGCGCGGACGGAGCGGCCGAUGGCAGAUUAGGUAGUUGGUGAGGUAAAGGCUCACCAAGCCUUCGAUCUGUAGCUGGUCUGAGAGGACGACCAGCCACACUGGGACUGAGACACGGCCCANACUCCUACGGGAGGCAGCAGUGGGGAAUUUUGGACAAUGGGCGCAAGCCUGAUCCAGCCAUGCCGCGUGCAGGAUGAAGGCCUUCGGGUUGUAAACUGCUUUUGUACGGAACGAAAAGGUUCUCUCUAAUACAGGGGGCUCAUGACGGUACCGUAAGAAUAAGCACCGGCUAACUACGUGCCAGCAGCCGCGGUAAUACGUAGGGUGCAAGCGUUAAUCGGAAUUACUGGGCGUAAAGCGUGCGCAGGCGGUGAUGUAAGACAGAUGUGAAAUCCCCGGGCUCAACCUGGGAACUGCAUUUGUGACUG